ensembl:lncRNA
ACUAGAAAGAGAUCAAUCUUUUGUGAUAGUAGAAAAAGAAAGACUUGAAAUGGCAAAGGCGGAACUCCAAGAAAAGCAAGACAAAGUUCACGGUCUACAGAGCGAUUUGAACAGUGACAGAGAAAAGAUGGACCAUUUACUUCUUGAAGGCCAAAAGAAAAUCCAAGAACUUCAUAAAGAGAUACAACACAUGGCCCAAAAACAGAAACAACAAGAGCUUCUAGACAGUGACCUGAAACAAUUGACUGAUGAUCUCCAAAUUGGGCAGGAAAAUCUAAUUAAACAACAGGAGGAAGUUCAACGUUUUAAGAGUGAUGUCAUGAAUAAGAAGGAGGAGCUUAAAGUGAUCAUGGAAAGAAUCUUUGAAGAGACAGCACAGCUUGAACAAGAGAAGCUUGAUAUUCAUGAAGAGCGAAGAAAGGCCUUGGACGAAAGGACGAUGCUAGAAAGAGAUUUGUCGGAAGUAAGGAUGAGAGAAGAAGAGGCCAUGCAAACGAUAAGACACAACACAAAUAUGAAAGAGGCAAUAAAAGAGUUGGUUGAAAAGACACAUCAAGACAUUACAAUGAAGAUGCAAUUCAUAGAGCAGAAGAUUCUCGAUGCACAAAAUCAGACAACUAACUUGGACGUUCAGCAAAAAGAAAUGGAAGAGCAGAAAUUGGAGAUUGACACACACUUUGAACAAAUACAAAGACUCAGUGAAGAUCUGAUCAAUUUGAAAUCGGACAUGAUGGUACAAAAACAAGAAAUGCAAAAGAAUUGGAACGAGGAGCUGCUACUGGAGAAACAAGAUCUCAAUACGGAAAAGGAAGCAGUAGACAGGCAAAGCAAAUAUCUGGACACAGUCAAAGAAACAAUCAACAAAGACAACCUUGACUUGGAUAUCAUGAGGUCUGAAAUCCAGAAAGAAACAGAGGCACUGGAAAGAGAGAAAGAAAAGAUCCGGGAACAAACUGAGAUACUAGAAAGAGAUCAAUCUUUUGUGAUAGUAGAAAAAGAAAAACUUGAAAUGGCAAAGGCGGAACUCCAAGAAAAGCAAGACAAAGUUCACGGUCUACAGAGCGAUUUGAACAGUGACAGAGAAAAGAUGGACCAUUUACUUCUUGAAGGCCAAAAGAAAAUCCAAGAACUUCAUAAAGAGAUACAACACAUGAACCAAAAACAGAAACAACAAGAGCUUCUAGACAGUGACCUGAAACGAUUGACUAAUGAUCUCCAAAUUGGGCAGGAAAAUCGAAUAAAACAACAGGAGGAAGUUCAACGUUUUAAGAGUGAUGUCAUGAAUAAGAAGGAGGAGCUUAAAGUGAUCAUGGAAAGAAUCUUUGAAGAGACAGCACAGCUUGAACAAGAGAAGCUUGAUAUUCAUGAAGAGCGAAGAAAGGCCUUGGACGAAAGGACGAUGCUAGAAAGAAUCUUUGAAGGGACAGCACAGCUUGAACAAGAGAAGCUUGAUAUUCAUGAAGCGCGAAGAAAGGCCGUGGACGAAAGGACGAUGCUAGAAAGAGAUUUGUCGGAAGUAACGAUGAGAGAAGAAGAGGCCAUGCAAACGAUAAGACACAACACAAUUAUGAAAGAGGCAAUAAAAGAGUUGGUUGAAAAGACACAUCAACACAUUACAAUGAAGAGGCAAUUAAUAGAGCAGAAGAUUCUGAAUGCACAAAAUCUGACAACUAUCUUGGAAAUUCAGAAAAAAGAAAUUGA